CCUACGGUAGGCAGCAGUAGGGAAUCUUCCACAAUGGACGAAAGCUUGAUGGAGCAACGCCGCGUGAGUGCUGAAGGUCUUCGGCUCGUAAAGUGCUGUUGUAAGGGAAGAAAAUUAGAUGUAGUAACUGGCUUUUAUUUGACGGUAAUUUAUUAGAAAGCGACGGCUAACUAAGUGCCAGCAGCCGCGGUAAUACGUAGGUCGCAAGCGUUGUCCGGAUUUAUUGGGCGUAAAGGGAGUGUAGGUGGUUUGAUAAGUCUGAUGUGAAAUCCUUCGGCUCAACCGUAGCAUUGCUUCAGAAACUGUUGAACUAGAGUUCAGAAGAGGAGAGUGGAACUCCAUGUGUAGCGGUGGAAUGCGUAGAUAUAUGGAAGAACACCAGUGGCGAAGGCAGCUUUCUGGUCUGCAACUGACGCUGAGGCUCGAAAGCAUGGGUAGCGAACAGGAUUAGAUACCCGGGUAGUC
rnacentral:rRNA from 1 species